AAUGCUGCUCAUGAAUAUGA
rnacentral:miRNA from 1 species